rnacentral:rRNA from 1 species
CGCCCGGGCUUCGGCCUGGUUAUUCAUAACCCUUUGUUGUCCGACUCUGUUGCCUCCGGGGCGACCCUGCCUUCGGGCGGGGGCUCCGGGUGGACACUUCAAACUCUUGCGUAACUUUGCAGUCUGAGUAAACUUAAUUAAUAAAUUAAAACUUUUAACAACGGAUCUCUUGGUUCUGGCAUCGAUGAACAACGCAGCGAAAUGCGAUAAGUAAUGUGAAUUGCAGAAUUCAGUGAAUCAUCGAAUCUUUGAACGCACAUUGCGCCCCCUGGUAUUCCGGGGGGCAUGCCUGUUCGAGCGUCAUUUCACCACUCAAGCCUCGCUUGGUAUUGGGCAACGCGGUCCGCCGCGUGCCUCAAAUCGUCCGGCUGGGUCUUCUGUCCCCUAAGCGUUGUGGAAACUAUUCGCUAAAGGGUGUUCGGGAGGCUACGCCGUAAAACAAACCCCAUUUCUAAGGUUGACCUCGGAUCACGUAGGGA